rnacentral:rRNA from 1 species
UGAAUCAGUGUGUGUGUUAGUGGAAGCGUCUGGAAAGGCGCGCGAUACAGGGUGACAGCCCCGUACACAAAAAUGCACAUGCUGUGAGCUCGAUGAGUAGGGCGGGACACGUGGUAUCCUGUCUGAAUAUGGGGGGACCAUCCUCCAAGGCUAAAUACUCCUGACUGACCGAUAGUGAACCAGUACCGUGAGGGAAAGGCGAAAAGAACCCCGGCGAGGGGAGUGAAAAAGAACCUGAAACCGUGUACGUACAAGCAGUGGGAGCCUCUUUAUGGGGUGACUGCGUACCUUUUGUAUAAUGGGUCAGCGACUUAUAUUCUGUAGCAAGGUUAACCGAAUAGGGGAGCCGAAGGGAAACCGAGUCUUAACUGGGCGUUAAGUUGCAGGGUAUAGACCCGAAACCCGGUGAUCUAGCCAUGGGCAGGUUGAAGGUUGGGUAACACUAACUGGAGGACCGAACCGACUAAUGUUGAAAAAUUAGCGGAUGACUUGUGGCUGGGGGUGAAAGGCCAAUCAAACCGGGAGAUAGCUGGUUCUCCCCGAAAGCUAUUUAGGUAGCGCCUCGUGAAUUCAUCUCCGGGGGUAGAGCACUGUUUCGGCAAGGGGGUCAUCCCGACUUACCAACCCGAUGCAAACUGCGAAUACCGGAGAAUGUUAUCACGGGAGACACACGGCGGGUGCUAACGUCCGUCGUGAAGAGGGAAACAACCCAGACCGCCAGCUAAGGUCCCAAAGUCAUGGUUAAGUGGGAAACGAUGUGGGAAGGCCCAGACAGCCAGGAUGUUGGCUUAGAAGCAGCCAUCAUUUAAAGAAAGCGUAAUAGCUCACUGGUCGAGUCGGCCUGCGCGGAAGAUGUAACGGGGCUAAACCAUGCACCGAAGCUGCGGCAGCGACGCUUAUGCGUUGUUGGGUAGGGGAGCGUUCUGUAAGCCUGCGAAGGUGUGCUGUGAGGCAUGCUGGAGGUAUCAGAAGUGCGAAUGCUGACAUAAGUAACGAUAAAGCGGGUGAAAAGCCCGCUCGCCGGAAGACCAAGGGUUCCUGUCCAACGUUAAUCGGGGCAGGGUGAGUCGACCCCUAAGGCGAGGCCGAAAGGCGUAGUCGAUGGGAAACAGGUUAAUAUUCCUGUACUUGGUGUUACUGCG